CUACGUGCCAGCAGCCGCGGUAAUACGUAGGUGGCAAGCGUUAUCCGGAUUUAUUGGGCGUAAAGCGAGCGCAGGCGGUUGCUUAGGUCUGAUGUGAAAGCCUUCGGCUUAACCGAAGAAGUGCAUCGGAAACCGGGCGACUUGAGUGCAGAAGAGGACAGUGGAACUCCAUGUGUAGCGGUGGAAUGCGUAGAUAUAUGGAAGAACACCAGUGGCGAAGGCGGCCGUCUGGUCUGCAACUGACGCUGAGGCUCGAAAGCAUGGGUAGCG
rnacentral:rRNA from 1 species